AUUGAACGCUGGCGGCAGGCCUAACACAUGCAAGUCGAGCGAGCGGCGGACGGGUGAGUAAUGUAUGGGGACUGCCCUAUAGAGGGGGCUAACUACUUGAAACGGUUGCUAAUACCGCAUUCUGUCUGCUAACCCAUAUGGGAUUCGCUAGUAGGUAAGGUAAUGGCUUACCUAGGCGACGAUCCCUAGCUGGUCUGAGAGGAUGAUCAUCCACACUGGGACUGAGACACGGCCCAGACUCCUACGGAGGCAGCAGUGGGGAAUAUUGCAAAAUGGGCGAAAGCCUGAUGCAGCCAUGCCGCGUGUAUGAAGAAGGCCCUAGGGUUGUAAAGUACUUUCAGUCGGGAGGCGUUACCGACAGAAGAAGCACCGGCUAACUCCGUGCCAGCAGCCGCGGUAAUUC
rnacentral:rRNA from 1 species